CUCAAUUUAAGUAACUGAUCCCUUUUUACAGUGUACAUUUGUAAUAAGUUAACUUAAUUUCUUUAUAUUGUCCCAACAAAAACCGAUUAAGUGCAACCCAACAUUUUUUUUACGGUGCGGCGAAUGGGAUUUUCAACACUUUAUCCAAAUUUUGGACUAAAGUAUAGUUUGUUAAACAUCUUUACAUAAUAACCAACAAACUGAAAACAGUGUCUGCAGUCUGCAUCAGUAAACAAUCAGUACAGGAUCUGCUCAUGUGAUGCUCCUCUCUGGAGAAGUUGUUUUUCCAUCCAUUAAUAGGUCUCAUAACUACAGCGCUGAGCAUUAAUUACUCCCAUACUCCUAAAAAAAAAAAAAGUGAACGCGUGUGUUGUCAGUGGACUGCAAUCAUUGCCUCACGUCCUCAGAGAAAUGCUACCCUAAAGCGCCUGCAUUUCUCCCCAUGGACUUAAUCUGUAACAAUCCAUAUUUAUUUUAAAUGAACACUUUGUGAAUUACAAGUUGACAGUGAGUGUGUGCCUCUUUCAUGCAUUGUCUUUUCUGAUUUCAGCUCUCUAAUUGCAGACAGACCUGUCCUAUCUUGCUCAUAAAGACCAAUCUUUGUGCAAACUUUUGCUUCAACCUGCCUGGAAGUUUCUGCCUUUCUAGAUAACCCAAGGCCCUUGAACACUGGGCAACCAUCCUCUCCAUGCUUCAGGUCUUAAAGAGCUCUCAUUGGCUGAAGGGGCAGCAGUGUUUCCGUGACUCAGCGGAAAAAAGGGGCAUAUCAAACCGAUGUGAGGGCCGUGCAGGGGGAAACCCCUUCAAACGCCCCCCAGACACCUUCGGAGGGGUGUCCACCAUUUCCCCACGUGAAGGAAAUCCCAAACCUACACCGUCUGAUGUCAGAAGCUUUCCAUUAACCCACCCAUGCCUUCAGAAUUGGUCCGAGGUCAGUCUUGAGUUGGCACUCGACGUGAAGACGUGGAAACCCAGCACAGAGACCCGCCAGGACCACCUGGGCUCAGGGACACAAGAGUCCUUAUCGCACCGUAUAGAAGUUCAGUCUUCAGAUAAUUGUCUGUUUGUGGCUCUUCACGCCCUUGAGCUGGCUGGCUCAGGGUGGGCCACAGUCUUCAAGCUCUGA